AUUGAACGCUGGCGGCAGGCCUAACACAUGCAAGUCGAGCGAGCGGCGGACGGGGGAGUAAUGUCUGGGAAACUGCCUGAUGGAGGGGGAUAACUACUGGAAACGGUAGCUAAUACCGCAUACCAUCAGAUGUGCCCAGAUGGGAUUAGCUAGUAGGUGGGGUAACGCCUCACCUAGGCGACGAUCCCUAGCUGGUCUGAGAGGAUGACCAGCCACACUGGACCUUAGACACGGUCCAGAGUCCUACGAGGGGCAGCAUUGGGGAGUAUUGCACAAUGGGCGCAAGCCUGAUGCCGCCAUGCCGCGUGUGUGAAGAUGGCCUUCGGGUUUUAAAGCACUUUCAGCGGGGAGGCGUUACCCGCAGAAGAAGCACCGGCUAACUCCGUGCCAGCAGCCGCGGUAAUUC
rnacentral:rRNA from 1 species